UACGGGGGGAGCAAGCGUUGUUCGGAUUUACUGGGCGUAAAGGGCGCGUAGGCGGCCAGCACAAGUCAGUUGUGAAAUCUCCGAGCUUAACUCGGAAAGGUCAACUGAUACUGUGCGGCUAGAGUGCGGAAGGGGCAACUGGAAUUCCCGGUGUAGCGGUGAAAUGCGCAGAUAUCGGGAGGAACACCGAUGGCGAAGGCAGCACUCUGGGCCGGUACUGACGCUGAGGAGCGAAAGCGUGGGGAGCGAACAGG
rnacentral:rRNA from 1 species